AUGAACGCUAGCUACAGGCUUAACACAUGCAAGUCGCGGGGCAGCAUGGGGGUUGCUUGCAAUCCCCGAUGGCGACCGGCGCACGGGUGAGUAACGCGUAUCCAACCUGCCCUUCACCACGGGAUAACCCGGCGAAAGUCGGACUAAUACCGUAUGUUGUCCAUUGACGGCAUCCGAUUUGGACGAAAGGUUUGGCGGUGAAGGAUGGGGAUGCGUCCGAUUAGCUGGACGGCGGGGUGACGGCCCACCGUGGCGACGAUCGGUAGGGGUUCUGAGAGGAAGGUCCCCCACACUGGAACUGAGACACGGCCCAGACUCCUACGGGAGGCAGCAGUGAGGAAUAUUGGUCAAUGGGCGUAAGCCUGAACCAGCCAAGUAGCGUGCAGGAUGACGGCCCUAGGGGUUGUAAACUGCUUUUAUGCGGGGAUAAAGUGGCCCACGUGUGGGUUUUUGCAGGUACCGCAUGAAUAAGGACCGGCUAAUUCCGUG
rnacentral:rRNA from 1 species